rnacentral:rRNA from 1 species
GACAAACGCUGGCGGCGUGCCUAAUACAUGCAAGUCGAACGACGAAAGCCUUCGGGCAAGUAAGAGUGGCGCACGGGCGAGGAACACGUAGAUAAUCUGCCCUUCAGUGGGGAAUAACUCUCCGAAAGGAGUGCUAAUACCGCAUAAGACCACAAGCUCUGCGGAGCAAGGGGUUAAAGGAUUUAUUCGCUGAAGGAUGAGUAUGCGUCCGAUUAGCUAGUUGGUGAGGUAAUGGCUUACCAAGGCAAUGAUCGGUAGACGGUCUGAGAGGAUGAUCAUCCGCACUGGAACGGGGACACGGUCCAGACUCCUACGGGAGGCAGCAGUAGGGAAUAUUGCACAAUGGGGGAAACCCUGAUGCAGCAACGCCGCGUGAGUGAUGAAGGCUCUAGGGUCGUAAAGCUCUGUCGUAUGGGAAGAAAAAAAUGACGGUACCAUACAAGAAAGGACCGGCCAACUUCGUGCCAGCAGCCGCCGUAA